rnacentral:rRNA from 1 species
GUCCCUACGGGACGCAGCAGUGGGGAAUAUUGCACAAUGGGGGAAACCCUGAUGCAGCGACGCCGCGUGAGUGAAGAAGUAUUUCGGUAUGUAAAGCUCUAUCAGCAGGGAAGAAGAAAGACGGUACCUGACUAAGAAGCCCCGGCUAACUACGUGCCAGCAGCCGCGGUAAUACGUAGGGGGCAAGCGUUAUCCGGAUUUACUGGGUGUAAAGGGAGCGUAGACGGAGAAGCGAGUCUGAAGUGAAAGCCCGUGGCUUACCCACGGGACUGCUUUGGAAACUGU